rnacentral:tRNA from 5 species
GCCGGAAUAGCUCAGUUGGUAGAGCAGCUGAUUUGUAAUCAGCAGGUCGCGGGUUCGAGUCCCAUUUCCGGCU